CUUAAAAUUCAGCAUUCAAAAAACUAAGAUCAUGACAUCCAGUCCCAUCACUUCACGGUAAAUAGAAGAGGACAAAGUGAAAACAGUGUCAGACUUUAUUUUCCUGGCCUCCAAAAGCACUGCUGACAGUGACUGCGACCAUGAAAUUAAAAGAUGCUUGCUCCUUGGAAGAAAAGCUAUGACAAACCUA